CUGAGGUCCAAGUUAAACUCAUCCAUGGGGGAAAUGGGCUGUAAAGACUGAGAUGAUGGACAGAUCUAUUCCUCACCUCUCAAAACCUGUUUCUUUACAAAGCAGUAGAAAACAAACCCUUUCAUAGAGCACCAAAAAGCAAGCUCAAGCAUGACAUGACUAUCACACCUUUUAUGGUAUUUUUUUUUCAGGAGCCUGCCCCCUGAUUUUAGUCCAAAGGAGCUGCUUUUGGGAAUUGUGUGUCCGGCUCCCAUGGUUACCUGCUAAGGAAGAGGCCCAUUCUGUUCUUCAGUCUUGUUACAUGGAUUUCUUUCUCUCCAAGUAAUUCCUCAACAUCCCCUUGAAUGACAUCUACUGCACGUGCUAUGUGACAGAUCCACACAAACAACAGAGGGGAAAGAGCCUCACUUAACUGAUUAGAGGAGAGAAGCAGUGAAAGGGAAUAUGCACAAAGCGCUGCCAAGUUCACAGAGCAAAGGGAAAGAUAAAAAAUCGAAUAAUUUCCCCAACAUUUUUUUAUUUAGAGUAAUGAGUGCCUUACUUGCCUCUAGUUAGGAUUUAAUACCUACUACAGCUCUGCUUACUGUGGUUGAGAGGACUGGUGUUAUGACCUAACAACGAAGAGUAGAGAACUUUUCCAGCCCAUGAGGCUGAAAAGACUUUGCAUAACUGAAAUGACUCCUGAACAGUUCUUCCCUAGAAGACACCCUCCCUGAUUUUUUGUGGGGCCUAUAAGAUGACUGAAGUUGUAGAACAGCAAAGACAUGGAAAAGACAUUGAGGUUCUAUUGCUCCCAUCGGAAAAUUCUGCUGACUACAGCUCGAGUUGGAUUUGGCCCAGAGAAACCAAAUACACAAGAGUAACAAUGAGUUGGUCAUACAAGCAAGGAAAAUCACAGAUAAGAGAUCUCAUUUAGAGCUGAGCACCCUCAAUAUCUACUUGCUGAAAAACCCUCCUGAUAUCCCCAGGGGAAAGCUGCUGGAGCUCUGCACAGACACACAGGAACAUUUCAUCUACCUGCAGCCUCAUCUGAUGAAGUUUAAUGAUACCAGCUAGCUCUGUCUUCCAUGCACCAGCAGGGGCUUCUUUAAAUUGGUCAACUGUAUGCAACAUUGUUUUUAAGUUUAAUGUACUUAGAAUCAACCUUAUAAUAUAAUGGCAUCUCUAAAGACAGUUUCUGUAGAUAGUGCACACAGACGUGCACACAUUUAUUUAUGCAUGUGUGUGUGUGCAUAUAAAUGUAUGUGUAAAUGCACACAUAUAUACAGAAACACUGAUCUUAUUCACCUUCUUGAAACCAUUUCAGCUCAUAUUAACAUAAAUGUGCUGUUAAAUUGGCAGUGUUAUACAUUUUUGUUGGAGUUUACUCCUGUAACAUGAAAUCAGAAAGAUAAGCUGUGAAACUCAUGCAGCUGAUGACAUAAUGCUAGGAUCUCGUGAUGCUGAAUAGCAUAUUUCUUGGAGUGUGGGAUGGAUGUUCCUUGCUGAAAUAAUUAUACUGCCUAUUGCAAUAAACGUUUCCUUGCUUUCAUGUGGGCACUGAGAUGUCCAAACCAUUAAAUGUAUAUAGU